GUCCCAGCGUUGUCCGGAUUCACUGGGCGUAAAGGGUGCGUAGGUGGCGGGGUAAGUCGGAUGUGAAAUCUCCGAGCUCAACUCGGAAAUGGCAUUGGAAACUACCUUGCUCGAGGGUUGGAGGGGGGACUGGAAUACUUGGUGUAGCAGUGAAAUGCGUAGAUAUCAAGUGGAACACCAGUGGCGAAGGCGAGUCCCCGGACAACUCCUGACACUGAGGCACGAAAGCUAGGGGAGCAAACAGGAUUAGAUACCCUGGUAGUCCUAGCCGUAAACGGUGCAUGUUUGCUGUAAAAGGAAUCGACCCCUUUUGUGGCGUAGCUAACGCGUUAAACGUGCCGCCUGGGAAGUACGGUCGCAAGAUUAAAACUCAAAGAAAUUGACGGGGGCCUGCACAAGCGGUGGAGUAUGUGGCUCAAUUCGAUGCAACGCGAAGAACCUUACCUGGCCUUGACAUGUACGUAGUAGAAGGGUGAAAGCCUGACGAGGUAGCAAUACCAGCGUACACAGGUGCUGCAUGGCUGUCGUCAGCUCGUGUCGUGAGAUGUUGGGUUAAGUCCCGCAACGAGCGCGACCCCUGUGUCCUGUUGCCACUCCUACGAGAGUAGGGAGCACUCUGGACAGACUGCCUCGCUUAAACGAGGAGGAAGGUGGGGAUGACGUCAAGUCAGUAUGGCCCUUACGGCCAGGGCUGCACACGUACUACAAUGCCCGGCACAAAGGGAAGCGAGACCGCGAGGUGGAGCAAAUCCCCUAAAACC
rnacentral:rRNA from 1 species